UUUAAAUUGAGAGUUUGAUCCUGGCUCAGGAUGAACGCUGGCGGCGUGCUUAACACAUGCAAGUCGAGCGAGGGAGCACCUUCGGGUGUGAACUAGCGGCGGACGGGUGAGUAACACGUGGGCAACCUGCCUUACAGAGGGGGAUAGCCUUCCGAAAGGAAGAUUAAUACCGCAUAUUAUGAUUUUUCUGCAUGGGAAAGUCAUGAAAGGAGCAAUCCGCUGUAAGAUGGGCCCGCGGCGCAUUAGCUAGUUGGUGAGGUAAGGGCUCACCAAGGCGACGAUGCGUAGCCGACCUGAGAGGGUGAUCGGCCACAUUGGGACUGAGACACGGCCCAGACUCCUACGGGAGGCAGCAGUGGGGAAUAUUGCACAAUGGGGGAAACCCUGAUGCAGCAACGCCGCGUGAGUGAUGACGGCCUUCGGGUUGUAAAGCUCUGUCUUCAGGGACGAUAAUGACGGUACCUGAGGAGGAAGCCACGGCUAACUACGUGCCAGCAGCCGCGGUAAUACGUAGGUGGCGAGCGUUAUCCGGAUUUACUGGGCGUAAAGGAUGCGUAGGUGGAAUUUUAAGUGGGAUGUGAAAUACCCGGGCUCAACCUGGGAACUGCAUUCCAAACUG
rnacentral:rRNA from 1 species